rnacentral:lncRNA from 1 species
GACGUUGUUCGGCUUGCAGACUCCACGAGGGUGUGCCCAUCCCCUGCAGUAUGAUAAGGUCAACGCAUUAGAUAUUUGAAGAAACUUGAAAGCAAAAGCUAAAAAAAGAGUAAAUGUACUUACCUAUCCCCUUUAGGCUUAAUCACCGGCCUGUGCUCGCGGGUAGCCGGCACGACCGGGAGACGUGUACUACCACGCUUGUACACGGUGGCCCUGUCCACCUGCACGUCGCCCUCACUAUCCGUAAACUCAUCCCCGCCAUCAACAGAACAGCCACCCGGACCCUCGGUCCAAUCCGGCACCUCGGUCCAAUCCGGCCAGGCACCCCAUCCAGACCUCUCCACGUCGGCCGAAGCGUGUGUGGCAGGAGUCUCCUGGGAUGUAGCCUCAGGAACCGGAAUCUCGUGGGCCGAAGGCACCUCGACCCGAGGCUGAUCCUGGACCGGAGUCUCAUGGGCCGAAUGCCCGUCCACCCGAGGCUCGUGGACCGGAGUCCCCGUAGCCUCCUCCUCAAACGGGUCCACCAUAGUAGUCUUGUGGUCAGGUGAAAGAGCUGGUGGUGGUGGCGAGGACAGCGCAACAGUCCGCCUACCUCUUCCGCGGCCACCACCUCUCCCUAUAACCUUCCCCUUCUUCCCUACCCAACCAGCACCUCUCCCAGUGGGCAAUGCCGCCGACGAAGAAGCACCCGCGGGUGGUGUAAAAAUCUAAAAAUAUAUUUUUGUAAAAUAUAACAUAUGUUUCCCUAGUCAAAUUGACGACCUAAAAACACGUGCCCGCCUUAUAAACCCAACUAGAGGGCUCCCUUAAGAUUGAGUCACCCUCCCUCCAGCACUGCUAAAAUAUUUUUUACUACUAGUACCAAAGUCCAAUCUAGUCAUUUUUAGCUCAUCCUAAUACAUAUUUGCACUUCUAAGGCAGCUCACCCCCCUCCAUUAUAUAUAUAUAUAUAUACAUACAUACAUACAUGCUACCCUUCUGUAUUUGGCUGUCACCAACUGCUUUUCUCAUGAUACCUCAAAUUACUUGCUUUCUCGAACUCAAUCCACUUUCUCGAGAACAUGAUAUUUUCACUGCAAUAUAUUUCAAGAUAUUUUAUUUAGUUUGGUGAACUAAAUAUCUACUAAGAAUUUCAAAGAGCAAAUUGCACCAAAACUACAAAAUCACUGGCUUUUAAUGAAUAAUCCAGCCUAUUGGGAGUAAUCUCAAAUGUUUCUAGCUGACUAAUAGUAAUUCACUCCCAUAAAUAUGAUUUGUUUGGGACCGCAAUAUAAAUAGCCAUUAGUAUGAAUUUUAUAGCAAGGUCUUCAAACACAGAUGGCAAUUUUGUCGUGUUUACUUGAAGAAACUGUCAUGUUCCUGCAAAACGUUGGCAAAUCCCAUCCUUCACAGAAACCAUUCACUGAAUCGCAUUACCUUUUAUUUAUGGUGUGUAUGAACAAUGAACAUUUGCCAAGAUUUUCCUAAUCCUAAGGCUACGGGCUACCACACAACCAGGGCCGGUCCUGAGAAUUCGGGGGCCCAGGGCGAAGACAACACAAAAGGGACCUGGGUCCCUAAAGCCACAUAAUCAUAUGCAUAAUUUUUACUAUUUCAUUUGCGAAUAAACUGGGUACACUAAAAUUUAUGUUGUCUUGUCAGCUAACAAAUUUAAAGAAAAUAGGGUCAUAAACAUUCACCGUAAAAGUUGGUCCCUCUUGUCAAUCUGACACUUAUAUUAUUUUUGUUAGGUGAAUUAGUAACACUUCCAUGCUUACUCAAAAUUUUAACAGCAUAUAAUCCUUCACUCAGUAACUAAAACUAAUUCUACCAGCAAAGAAACUAAUUCCACAAAAUUUCUAAGCUGUAAAAGUACUACUUGUAUGUGUUCUGAAUAAAUGUCAAUAGCUCCUCCAACAGGCUCGAUCAACUCAUAUGCAUGUUUUUUUCUUCUCAUUGUCGGAUGAAUACUCUUGCCAAAUUAAUAGUAAUCUUGAUAAUUAGCACACAAAUAUAUGACACAAGACGAGGAAAAUUACGAACACAACUAGUUAAAUGAAAAAAGUUUAAGGAAGUCACGAGCAAAAGAUUUGGUUUUCCUUUC